rnacentral:rRNA from 1 species
CUUUACUGUAGCCUGGUAUUGGGUUCGGGCUUUGACUGCGCAGGAUAGGUGGGAGACUAUGAAGCUGCCCUUGUGGGGGCAGUGGAGUCAUCAGUGAGAUACCACUCUGUCAAGGCUAGAAUUCUAACCGUCUGCCGUUAUCCGGCGACGGAACAGUAUCAGGUGGGCAGUUUGACUGGGGCGGUCGCCUCCUAAAUGGUAACGGAGGCGCGCAAAGGUUCCCUCAGGCUGGUUGGAAAUCAGCCGAAGAGUGUAAAGGCAGUAGGGAGCUUGACUGCAAGAGCAACAACUCAAGCAGGGACGAAAGUCGGCCUUAGUGAUCCGACGGCGCUGAGUGGAAGGGCCGUCGCUCAACGGAUAAAAGUUA